CUAUUCUCUUUGGUAUUUUUACAGUUUUUUUCCCUCAGUGUUUUCCAAUUUCACUAUGGAAUGUCUAGAAGUAUUUGCAGUUGUUGUUUAAGUGUGUUAAUGCUUGGACAGUGUUGUACUGGUAAAUAUUUAACAACUGGAGUGAGAGUGGGACAAUUUAUAGUGAGUUUACCAAUGUUUGUGAUAUAAACAUUCCCACUAUGGCCUACUUCAAAGAUGUCACAAAAGUGACAUCUUUGGAUACAAACUUUGGAACAGAUGCUAUAUAGCAUGCUGCUGGAUUUCAGCCACAGACAUACAAUAGACAUAACUUCGAGGACACAGAGUCCUCCUCACGUGCGUCACUUGCGGCACAGGCGAGCCUCUUCUGGUUCUUCAGAUGAGAAAACCAGGAUAUAAAUUAAGAAUAACAUACCUGUGAUGAUGCAGCUGUGAAGGCCGAGCUGGAUCUGAGGCUGCUGACUUUGCUCUCCCUUUCCUCCUGCCAUUCCAUACGCCAGGAAAGGUGAAGCCGUUGGCUGAGCAUAGGAGAAUUCAGGUCCUCUUCCAAAAGGCUAUGCUUUUCACAAAUUAAAAC
ensembl:lncRNA